GAGUGAUCGAAAGAUGAAAAGCACUUUGAAAAGAGAGUCAAACAGCACGUGAAAUUGUUGAAAGGGAAGCGUUGGCCCCCAGACGCGCCCGGGAGGGCUCAGCCGGCACGUGUGCCGGUGUACUCUCUCCCGGGCGGGCCAGCAUCGGUUUGGGCGGUCGCUGAAAGGCCCCGGGAAUGUAGCACCCUCCGGGGUGCCUUAUAGCCCGGGGCGGCAUGCGGCCCGCCGGGACCGAGGCCCGCGCUUGGGCGAGGAUGCUGGCGUAAUGGGGGUUWWCGGC
rnacentral:rRNA from 1 species